CAAGUUGCCCAGCAUUUUUACUCAUCGUCCACACAUGCCUGGGCAAGCCAAAUGGUACAUCACUGAUCUCCAGUUUAAUCUCUCUGUGCCACCAGCAUUUUGUCUGUAGAAGAAGUGCUGUAAUGCUGCUUCAACUGUCCUGUUUUAGCUGUGAGGCCUGGCUUUGUCUCACUGUCUUUCCACUGAUGAGCCCAUGCUGUCUUGAGACCUCUCCUUCCUUACAUGCAGAGGUAUUCCUGGAUUUCUCUGAGGACACUUGCAUUGACAGCAACAGAGAUCUGAAGUGUGGUGUUUGCUGCAAAUUAAGGCAAACAAUUGACCUCAGUCCUUGAAAAAGGAGGAAUCUGCUCACCCGUGUUUAACUGCUCUCUGGAUUCUGCACUUUUCUAACCUUCAUUUCCACUUGUAUGACCUGCCCAGAGGUGUGGGCUCACAUGUUACUCCUGCUGACCUGGGCAGGACAUUGUGUGCCUGGCGCGCCGUCCGCACUGACGUGGUUCUUGAAAACCCGAUGUGACUGAGGGCAUCCAGAGCUUGGGGGUGAGUUGUUGCCAGGUCUCCUGGAGCACUACCCAGCAGUGCUGGAAACAGCCUCAGGGAUAAACACUCAUGCAAAUGAUCAGGCAGACCCUUCCUCAAGGAGGGCCUCCCAAGACAAUGUUUGUAGGGCUUAAAGUGGAAAAUUGUUUCACCAAAAAAAUUCCA